GACGAACGCUGGCGGCGUGCUUAACACAUGCAAGUCGAACGGAAAGGCCCUGCUUUUGUGGGGUGCUCGAGUGGCGAACGGGUGAGUAACACGUGAGUAACCUGCCCUUGACUUUGGGAUAACUUCAGGAAACUGGGGCUAAUACCGGAUAGGAUCUCCUGCUGCAUGGUGGGGGUUGGAAAGUUUCGGCGGUUGGGGAUGGACUGGCGGCUUAUCAGCUUGUUGGUGGGGUAGUGGCUUACCAAGGCUUUGACGGGUAGCCGGCCUGAGAGGGUGACCGGCCACAUUGGGACUGAGAUACGGCCCAGACUCCUACGGGAGGCAGCAGUGGGGAAUAUUGCACAAUGGGCGGGAGCCUGAUGCAGCAACGCCGCGUGCGGGAUGACGGCCUUCGGGUUGUAAACCGCUUUCGCCUGUGACGAAGCGUGAGUGACGGUAAUGGGUAAAGAAGCACCGGCUAACUACGUG
rnacentral:rRNA from 1 species